rnacentral:rRNA from 1 species
CCCUUAGAUGUUCUGGGCUGCACGCGCGCUACACUGAAGCGUUCAACGAGUAUUCACCUUGCCCGGGAGGGUUGGGUAAUCUUUUGAAAACGCUUCGUGAUGGGGAUAGAUUAUUGCAAUUAUUAAUCUUCAACGAGGAAUUCCUAGUAAGCGCAAGUCAUCAGCUUGCGUUGAUUACGUCCCUGCCCUUUGUACACACCGCCCGUCGCUCCUACCGAUUGAAUGGUCCGGUGAAGCGUUCGGACCGUGGCCUUUGGACGGUUCGCCGUCUGUUGGCUGCGGGAAGUUCGUUAAACCUUAUCAUUUAGAGGAAGGAGAAGUCGUANCA